rnacentral:misc_RNA from 1 species
GUGAGUCAUCGAAUCUUUGAACGCACAUUGCGCCCCCUGGCAUUCCGGGGGGCAUGCCUGUCCGAGCGUCAUUUCUGCCCUCAAGCGCGGCUUGUGUGUUGGGUGUGGUCCCCCCGGGGACCUGCCCCAAAGGCAGCGGCGACGCCCGUCGGGUCCCCGAGCGCAUGGGGCUUUGUCACUCGCUCGGAAGGGAUCUGCGGGGGUUGGUCAUCACCAUAUUUACCACGGUUGACCUCGGAUCAGGUAGGAGUUACCCGCUGAACUUAAGCAUAUCAAUAAGCGGAGGA